rnacentral:siRNA from 1 species
GGGCUUAAGGUAGCCUUGCUGUGU